UGUGUGUGUGUGUGUGUGUGUGUGUGUGUGUAAAGGAAGGGGCAGCCACCUAACAACCAAACACACACACACACACACACACACACACACACC